rnacentral:sRNA from 1 species
UUGCCUCUAGGUUUACGAGCCUGAAAGCCACUGGUAUACCUUGAACCACACCAGCCACAAUGACGACAAGUUCUACGAGAAUUUCACUAUUUAUCAUAAUGCUACGGGCAUCAUGGAGGUCACCACCCUAGCUACCAGCGCCCUCUUUGUGGCCGGCGUUUUCU